rnacentral:rRNA from 1 species
GUGAGGAAUUUUCCGCAAUGGGCGAAAGCCUGACGGAGCAAUGCCGCGUGAAGGAUGAAGGCCUAUGGGUUGUAAACUUCUUUUCUCAGAAAAGAAUUAUGACGGUAUCUGAGGAAUAAGCAUCGGCUAACUCUGUGCCAGCAGCCGCGGUAAGACAGAGGAUGCAAGCGUCAUCCGGAAUGAUUGGGCGUAAAGCGUCUGUAGGUUGUUUAAAAAGUAUUCUGUCAAAGAUUAGGGCUUAACCCUAGAUAGGCAGAAUAAACUUUUAAGCUAGAGUUUGGUAGAGGCAGAGGGAAUUCCCGGUGGAGCGGUGAAAUGCGUAGAUAUCGGGAGGAACACCAAAGGCGAAGGCACUCUGCUGGGCCAAUACUAACACUGAGAGACGAAAGCGAGGGGAGCAAAUGGGAUUAGAAACCCUUGUAGUCC